rnacentral:rRNA from 1 species
GUGCCAGACUCCUACGGGAGGCAGCAGUGAGGAAUAUUGGUCAAUGGGCGCAAGCCUGAACCAGCCAAGUCGCGUGAGGGAUGACGGUCCUAUGGAUUGUAAACCUCUUUUGUCGGGGAGCAAGGCCCGCCACGUGUGGCGGGAAGGAGAGUACCCGAAGAAAAAGCAUCGGCUAACUCCGUGCCAGCAGCCGCGGUAAUACGGAGGAUGCGAGCGUUAUCCGGAUUUAUUGGGUUUAAAGGGUGCGUAGGCGGAAGGUUAAGUCAGCGGUAAAAUGUCGGUGCUCAACACCGGCCUGCCGUUGAAACUGGUCUUCUUGAGUGAGCGAGAAGUAUGCGGAAUGCGUGGUGUAGCGGUGAAAUGCGUAGAUAUCACGCAGAACUCCGAUUGCGAAGGCAGCGCACCGGCGCCCUACUGACGCUCAGGCACGAAAGCGUGGGUAUCGAACAGGAUUAGAUACCCCAGUAU